UACGUAGGGGGCAAGCGUUAUCCGGAUUUACUGGGUGUAAAGGGAGCGUAGGUGGUUAAUUAAGUCUGAUGUGAAAGCCCACGGCUUAACCGUGGAGGGUCAUUGGAAACUGGUUGACUUGAGUGCAGAAGAGGGAAGUGGAAUUCCAUGUGUAGCGGUGAAAUGCGUAGAGAUACGGAGGAACACCAGUGGCGAAGGCGGCUUCCUGGUCUGCAACUGACACUGAGGCGCGAAAGCGUGGGGAGCAAACAGG
rnacentral:rRNA from 1 species